GCAGGAUGAGUUCUUAGGCUUCUUUUCUGCUUUUUUGUUUGGUUGGUGUAUUGUUGAUUGUCACCUUAUGUCUCAGGAAACACCAUAGGCAUAUUAGAUUGCGAUUGUGGUCAGUAGAUAGCUUAUUACAUCACUUUACUAAAUAACAUAUCUUAUGCAGGGACGAAAAGAACUGCAAAUCCUGGGCAGAUACAGGAGAACUUCUUUGCAGACUUGUAGCUGGUCUGCUUAAUCUCCCAACAACCUUAAAAGUUGACUCCUCUUCGGGUUAAGGAGCUUGUAGAGAAGCGGCUCGUGUCACUUGUAUCAAAACUUCUGUGUUAAAAGUUGAGCAUUAUGGUCCUACUUCUCGUAUAAUUUAUAAUACUUAUUUUGUGAGAUAGGAUUUUAUUAUGAGUUUUAAAGUUAGAUUGAUCAUUUAAAAUAUAAUCACACAAGCUCUCAGUAGAACCUCAAAUUUGACAUCAAUUGCAUCAUUUUGCCAUCAAUUCAGAUUAAAAAUUAUUUAUUUUGAAGGAUAAAUCUGGCAUGUAUGCAUGCAUCAGUGAAUUCUGAUUUACAAGUUCUAGACACAACAUGAGAUAUGAAGGCUACCAACUUGAUAUACAAUUAGAUGUUCGAUAACCUUCAGCUACAGCAUGUUUGAUAAGUUGGGCUAUAAACUAGACGAGUUGAAUAUUGUCAGGUUCAAGUAAAUAGUUCGGACUUGAUUUAGAUUGAGUCAUAAUUUUCAAGUUCAAAACUCUCUUAGGCAAAGUUUAAUAAAUUCGAACAAGAUGCUGUAUAAAUCGAGGGGGGGAGUAAGAUGAUUAAUUCAAGUCAACGGUGUGUCUGAAUAUCUAAUUUGGAAAUAUUUGUGUUUGUUAUAGUAUUCUCCGAGCUAGAAAACCGGCCAUUAUAUCAUCCACAUCAAAAAAAUCGUAUUUAUUACUAUUGUGCUACAGCUUGUCUGGAUCAUUUUUUUCCCCUUAAUUAAAAAAUGUUCUUAAUAGACUUUGGUUAUACGAACAGUGCUUCGUUGCAUUUAAGAAAAUUUUUAUACACGGCUUUAAUAUAUCAAUUUGGAUGUCAAAACAAAACAACGAGAGAUACGAAGAAACACGUAUUUAACACAAGGUCGUAGUUGACAUUUCUUAUUUCUAACAUGCCGUCUACCUUUUUGUUUGCUGAACCAAAACAACAUCUAAGACCGUUUCCUCCUAUUUACUUAAUUAAUUACUGUACAAAAAGAACUCCGCGUAAACACAUUUUAUUAUUCCUAAACCACACGAACAUGUACACAUCCCCACGUCUAGAAUCUUGUUACCUUGAUAAAUAUACUCCCUUUUUUCUUCUCGUUUCUCUUAUUUCUUUACGAGUUUUUCGUUAUUCAUCAUAAAUUUUAAUGUGUAUAUAUAAAAUAUAAUUUUAUAAUUUAUUCUUAAAAAUAUUCUGUUUAUAUAAAUAUUUUGAUAUUAAUUUCAAAAAAUAAUUUUUUAAAACUAAUUUAUUAUUUUUUUAAAUAUAUGUCAUUGUCCAACAUAAACCACGCGGGGGAGACGGAGACAAAGUAUAUAACAACAAGCUCCGAUGCAUAAGCAAUUCACUUCACCAGUUUCUAAAUCAACUUAGUCUUCGAAUCACAAAACCUCGCAAUGGUUCGAAAAUUUCACCUCAGAUUGCUCCUCGGCAGUUUCAAAGACAAAGCUUCGAUAAUCAAAGCAAGCUUAUCAUCUAAACGUCGGACAGCUUCCAUCCGUCUCUCCGUCAUCCGCGCCACCAAGAGAACCUCCACGUCUCCGCCGCAGCAUCGGAUAGACGCCGUCCUCGCCUUCGGCCACAUUAGUCGUCCCACGGCGUCUGCAUGCAUCCAUGCAAUCAUGGACCGGGCCCACAAAUCUCGGAACGCUUACGUGGUCUUCAAGUCUCUCAUUAUUAUUCAUAAUAUUAUUACCCGAGGUUCCUUCAUCCUCAAGGACCAGCUUUCGAUUUAUCCGUCUACGGGGGGNUUUUUUUUUUUUUUUUUGGUGAAGACUCAGCAAGCUCUAUUAAAUGAAUGUAGAAACAUGCCUAUGGGAAUCGGUGAGCUUUCAUGAGAUCAGAGUCUAUAAUUGUUAUUAAGAGCAAGUGUGGUUACAUUUUGUUGCAUGUCACAAGUUCCAUAGUGGCAGGAUGAGUUCUUAGGCUUCUUUUCUGCUUUUUUGUUUGGUUGGUGUAUUGUUGAUUGUCACCUUAUGUCUCAGGAAACACCAUAGGCAUAUUAGAUUGCGAUUGUGGUCAGUAGAUAGCUUAUUACAUCACUUUACUAAAUAACAUAUCUUAUGCAGGGACGAAAAGAACUGCAAAUCCUGGGCAGAUACAGGAGAACUUCUUUGCAGACUUGUAGCUGGUCUGCUUAAUCUCCCAACAACCUUAAAAGUUGACUCCUCUUCGGGUUAAGGAGCUUGUAGAGAAGCGGCUCGUGUCACUUGUAUCAAAACUUCUGUGUUAAAAGUUGAGCAUUAUGGUCCUACUUCUCGUAUAAUUUAUAAUACUUAUUUUGUGAGAUAGGAUUUUAUUAUGAGUUUUAAAGUUAGAUUGAUCAUUUAAAAUAUAAUCACACAAGCUCUCAGUAGAACCUCAAAUUUGACAUCAAUUGCAUCAUUUUGCCAUCAAUUCAGAUUAAAAAUUAUUUAUUUUGAAGGAUAAAUCUGGCAUGUAUGCAUGCAUCAGUGAAUUCUGAUUUACAAGUUCUAGACACAAC
rnacentral:lncRNA from 1 species